rnacentral:rRNA from 1 species
GAUGAACGCUAGCGGGAGGCUUAACACAUGCAAGUCGUGGGGCAGCAUUUGUCCGCCGUAAGGCGGAUGAGAUGGCGACCGGCGCACGGGUGAGUAACGCGUAUGCAACCUACCCUGUACAGGGGGAUAGCCCGGAGAAAUUCGGAUUAAUACCCCAUAAAGAUAUUUAGAGGCAUCUUUAGAUAUUUAAAGUUUCGGCGGUACGGGAUGGGCAUGCGUAACAUUAGCUAGUUGGUAGGGUAACGGCCUACCAAGGCCACGAUGUUUAGGGGUCCUGAGAGGGUGAUCCCCCACACUGGUACUGAGACACGGACCAGACUCCUACGGGAGGCAGCAGUGAGGAAUAUUGGUCAAUGGGCGCAAGCCUGAACCAGCCAUCCCGCGUGGAGGAAGAAGGCGCUAUGCGUUGUAAACUUCUUUUCCAGAGGAAUAAAAUUUUGUACGAGUACAGAAGCUGAAGGUACUCUGGGAAUAAGCGUCGGCUAACUCCGUGCCAGCAGCCGCGGUAAUACGGAGGAUGCAAGCGUUAUCCGGAUUUAUUG